rnacentral:lncRNA from 1 species
ACGCACAGUGCUGGCGCAAGUCGUCUUGCGCCAGGCGACUGGGUCUGAGGAGGCAGGAGUUAUUCAUUCCCUUAAGCUUUCAGGCCGGGGGGAGAAUCUUUCAGGUGGUAGCUGCAAGAACUCUUAGUAUGUUGACCUCACCUCUGCCUUCCACAUACCACUACCAGUGAGGAAUUAGGAAUGCAUGAGAAGAGUGUCCAAGAAGAGUGUCCUCAUUCAUGCAAGGCUUAAGAGAGAAUGCAGGUCAACAUCACCAUGUCAAUCAGAGAAUACUUCUGUUGGGUUGAAUGACUCUCUGCCCCCAGGCAUCUCAAGAUGAAGGUUUCCUAUUUGUGAUUAUGAAAAAAAUGUCAAGAACAAGUCCCUUGGUGUUCUUAGACCAAAGUCAGAACAACAGACCUAUUUAUGCCUGAAAUGUGUGUAUAAACAACAUUUGAAAGAAGAAAUGG